rnacentral:rRNA from 1 species
AACGAACGCUGGCGGCAUGCCUAACACAUGCAAGUCGAACGAGACCUUCGGGUCUAGUGGCGCCCGGGUGCGUAACGCGUGGGAACCUGCCCUUAGGUUCGGAAUAACUCCCCGAAAGGGGUGCUAAUACCGGAUAAUGUCUUCGGCCCAAAGAUUUAUCGCCUUUGGAUGGGCCCGCGUUGGAUUCGCUAGUUGGUAGGGUAAAAGCCUACCAAGGCGACGAUCCAUUGCUGGUCUGGGUGGAUGAUCAGCCACACUGGGACAGAGACACGGCCCAGACUCCUACGGGAGGCAGCAGUGGGGAAUAUGGGACAAUGGGCGAAAGCCUGAUCCAGCAAGGCCGCGUGAGUGAUGAAGGACUGAGGGUUGUAAAGCUCUUUUACCCGGGAUGAUAAUGACAGUACCGGGAGAAUAAGCUCCGGCUAACUCCGU